GAGAUUAAUAAACCGGUGACUUGGGAUACCAUCUAAAAUAUUUCAAAUGGCGACUCUGAAUAUAAAUAAAUAAAUAAAUUCAUUUCGAACAAUGUCACUUAAAGUGGGAAAAAUCCCUUAUAUAUACCUUCGGGUGUGUAAAAAGGAGGUGUGACAGCUCUGGCGACUCCACUAGGGAUCCAAACCCAGAACUUUUGUUCAGA
rnacentral:lncRNA from 1 species